GAGUUUUUGGACUGGCUCAGAUUGAACGCUGGCGGCAUGCCUUACACAUGCAAGUCGAACGGUAACAGGUUAAGCUGACGAGUGGCGAACGGGUGAGUAAUGUAUCGGAACGUGCCCAGUCGUGGGGGAUAACUGCUCGAAAGAGCAGCUAAUACCGCAUACGACCUGAGAGUGAAAGCGGGGGAUCGCAAGACCUCGCGCGAUUGGAGCGGCCGAUAUCAGAUUAGGUAGUUGGUGAGGUAAAGGCUCACCAAGCCGACGAUCUGUAGCUGGUCUGAGAGGACGACCAGCCACACUGGGACUGAGACACGGCCCAGACUCCUACGGGAGGCAGCAGUGGGGAAUUUUGGACAAUGGGCGCAAGCCUGAUCCAGCCAUGCCGCGUGCGGGAAGAAGGCCUUCGGGUUGUAAACCGCUUUUGUCAGGGAAGAAAAGGUUCUGGCUAAUACCUGGGACUCAUGACGGUACCUGAAGAAUAAGCACCGGCUAACUAC
rnacentral:rRNA from 1 species